GGGUCAGUAGGUUGGUCGUGCCACCGGUACGUACUGGUCUCACUGAUUCCUCCUUCCUGAAGAACCGUAAUGCCAUUAAUUUGGUGUUGCGGGGAAACAGGACUGUUACUUUGAAAAAAUUAGAGCGUUUAAAGCAAGCUAACGCUUGAAUACAUUAGCAUGGAAUAAUGAAAUAGGACGACCGAUCCUAUUUUGUUGGUUUCUAGGAUUGACGUA
rnacentral:rRNA from 1 species